rnacentral:lncRNA from 1 species
AACAGAGUCGGUAUCCGAAAUUUCAAAUUCAAAGCCUACUUGUUUUAUAUUUUUAGCGGAGUUUUUUUUACAAAAAAAGAUGAGCCAAAGUGGAUAGCUUGCUUACAUUUCUCUCGUUUGGUUCGAGUUAUGUAAUAUUACAAAGUAUCUCGACAUAUCCAAAUAUUUUGGAUUUCGGCGUAAGAUUACUACUGAUGCUGCAUUAGAGCGUUUGGUUUAAUACAGUAAUGUAAUAGUAGAUUACAGUGUUUAUAGCAUUAAUAUGUUUGGUUCAGUUUAUAAAAUUUAGUAAUCAUGACAUAAAAGUAUAGUUUUUCCAAAAUUGCCCUUGUUUUGGUCAUUUGAAUAUUAUUUUUUGCGGAAAUGACGAAUAGAGGGAAGGAGAUCGUGUUGAUUACUUGGGAGGACGACGCAAUAGAAGAUGAUAGGUGUUCGUGAGAGAGAGAGAGAGAGAGAGAGAGAGAGAGAGAGAGACGUUGAGAGAGAGAGAGCGAGAGAAAGCGGCGUGCGAGAGAGACGGCCGGGGGGAAGUUGAGAGAGAUAAAAAUAAUGCUGUUAAUUAGAUUUGAGGUUGUUGGAGGGUAAAAUUGUCAUUUUACAUAAUAUGUAGUAUU